rnacentral:rRNA from 1 species
UACAGAGGUCUCAAGCGUUGUUCGGAUUCAUUGGGCGUAAAGGGUGCGUAGGCGGCGCGGUAAGUCGGGUGUGAAAUCUUGGAGCUUAACUCCGAAACUGCAUUCGAUACUGCCGUGCUUGAGGACUGGAGAGGAGACUGGAAUUUACGGUGUAGCAGUGAAAUGCGUAGAGAUCGUGAGGAAGACCAGUGGCGAAGGCGGGUCUCCGGACAGUUCCUGACACUGAGGCACGAAGGCCAGGGGAGCAAACGGG